rnacentral:rRNA from 1 species
AGUGAACGCUGGCGGCAGGCCUAACACAUGCAAGUCGAGCGGCAGCGCGGGGGCAACCCUGGCGGCGAGCGGCGGACGGGUGAGGAAUUCGUCGGAAUCUGCCUUUUUGUGGGGGAUAACGUAGGGAAACUUACGCUAAUACCGCAUACGUCCUACGGGAGAAAGUGGGGGACCGCAAGGCCUCACGCAGAAAGAUGAGCCGACGACCGAUUAGCUAGUUGGUGGGGUAAAGGCCCACCAAGGCGACGAUCGGUAGCUGGUCUGAGAGGAUGAUCAGCCACACUGGGACUGAGACACGGCCCAGACUCCUACGGGAGGCAGCAGUGGGGAAUAUUGCACAAUGGGCGCAAGCCUGAUCCAGCCAUGCCGCGUGUGUGAAGAAGGCCUUCGGGUUGUAAAGCACUUUUGUCCGGAAAGAAAUCCCUGGUGCUAAUACCUUCGGGGGAUGACGGUACCGGAAGAAUAAGCACCGGCUAACUUCGUG